rnacentral:rRNA from 1 species
UACAGAGGGUGCUAGCGUUGUUCGGAAUUAUUGGGCGUAAAGGGCGCGUAGGCGGCCCUGUGUGUCGGGUGUGAAAGCCCACCUCUUAAAGGUGGAAUUGCAUUCGAAACUACAGGGCUGGAGUGUCGGAGAGGAUGGCGGAAUUCCUGGUGUAGAGGUGAAAUUCGUAGAUAUCAGGAGGAACACCGAUGGCGAAGGCAGAUCUCUGGGCCGUAACUGACGCUGAGGAGCGAAAGCAUGGGGAGCGAACAGG